rnacentral:rRNA from 1 species
AUUGAACGCUGGCGGCAGGCCUAACACAUGCAAGUCGAGCGGAUGAAGAGAGCUUGCUCUCUGAUUUAGCGGCGGACGGGUGAGUAAUGCCUAGGAAUCUGCCUGGUAGUGGGGGAUAACGUUCCGAAAGGAACGCUAAUACCGCAUACGUCCUACGGGAGAAAGCAGGGGACCUUCGGGCCUUGCGCUAUCAGAUGAGCCUAGGUCGGCUUAGCUAGUUGGUGAGGUAAGGGCUCACCAAGGCGACGAUCCGGAACUGGUGUGAGAGGAUGAUCAGUCACACUGGAACUGAGACACGGUCCAGACUCCUACGGGAGGCAGCAGUGGGGAAUAUUGGACAAUGGGCGAAAGCCUGAUCCAGCCAUGCCGCGUGUGUGAAGAAGGUCUUCGGAUUGUAAAGCACUUUAAGUUGGGAGGAAGGGCAGUAAGUUAAUACCUUGCUGUUUUGACGUUACCGACAGAAUAAGCACCGGCUAACUUCGUGCCAGCCGCCGCGGUAAUAC